AUUGAACGCUGGCGGCAGGCUUAACACAUGCAAGUCGAGCGAGCGGCGGACGGGUGAGUAAUGUCUGGGGAUCUGCCCGAUAGAGGGGGAUCACUACUGGAAACGGUAGCUAAUACCGCAUACUAUCGGAUGAACCCAUAUGGGAUUAGCUAGUAGGUGGGGUAAAGGCUCACCUAGGCGACGCUCUCUAGCUGGUCUGAGAGGAUGAUCAUCCACACUGGAACUGAGACACGGCCCAGACUCCUACGGGAGGCAGCAGUGGGGAAUAUUGCACAAUGGGCGCAAGCCUGAUGCAGCCAUGCCGCGUGUAUGAAGAAGGCCUUAGGGUUGUAAAGUACUUUCAGCGGGGAGGCGUUACCCGCAGAAGAAGCACCGGCUAACUCCGUGCCAGCAGCCGCGGUAAUUC
rnacentral:rRNA from 1 species